rnacentral:rRNA from 1 species
CCUACGGGAGACAGCAGUGAGGAAUAUUGGUCAAUGGGAGAGAUCCUGAACCAGCCAAGCCGCGUGAGGGAAGACGGCCCUAUGGGUUGUAAACCUCUUUUGUCGGAGAACAAAACCCGGGACGUGUCCCGGCCUGCGUGUAUCCGAAAACAAAGCAUCGGCUAACUCCGUGCCCGCAGCCGCGGUAAUACGGAGGAUGCGAGCGUUAUCCGGAUUUAUUGGGUUGAAAGGGUGCGUAGGCGGUCCGUUAAGUCAGCGGUAAAAUUGCGGGGCUCAACCCCGUCGGGCCGUGGAAACGGGCAGACUUGAGUUGGCGAGAAGUACGCGGAAUGCGCGGUGUAGCGGUGAAAUGCAUAGAUAGCGCGCAGAACUCCGAUUGCGAAGGCAGCGUACCGGCGCCAGACUGACGCUGAGGCACGAAAGCGUGGGGAUCGAACAGGAUUAGAUACCCGUGUAGUC